AUUGAACGCUGGCGGCAGGCCUAACACAUGCAAGUCGAGCGGUUGACGGGAGCUUGCUCCCUGAUUCAGCGGUGGACGGGUGAGUAAUGCCUAGGAAUCUGCCUAUUAGUGGGGGACAACGUUUCGAAAGGAACGCUAAUACCGCAUACGUCCUACGGGAGAAAGCAGGGGACCUUCGGGCCUUGCGCUAAUAGAUGAGCCUAGGUCGGAUUAGCUUGUUGGUGAGGUAAUGGCUCACCAAGGCGACGAUCCGUAACUGGUCUGAGAGGAUGAGCGGUCAACCUGGAACUGGGACACGGUCCAGACUCCUACGGGAGGCAGCAGUGGGGAAUAUUGGACAAUGGGCGAAAGCCUGAUCCAGCCAUGCCGCGUGUGUGAAGAAGGUCUUCGGAUUGUAAAGCACUUUAAGUUGGGAGGAAGGGUUGUAGAUUAAUACUCUGCAAUUUUGACGUUACCGACAGAAUAAGCACCGGCUAACUCUGUGCCAGCCGCCGCGGUAACAC
rnacentral:rRNA from 1 species